rnacentral:rRNA from 1 species
CUCAGAUUGAACGCUGGCGGCAGGCCUAACACAUGCAAGUCGAACGGUAACAGAAAGCAGCUUGCUGCUUUGCUGACGAGUGGCGGACGGGUGAGUAAUGUCUGGGAAACUGCCUGAUGGAGGGGGAUAACUACUGGAAACGGUAGCUAAUACCGCAUAACGUCGCAAGACCAAAGAGGGGGACCUUCGGGCCUCUUGCCAUCGGAUGUGCCCAGAUGGGAUUAGCUAGUAGGUGGGGUAACGGCUCACCUAGGCGACGAUCCCUAGCUGGUCUGAGAGGAUGACCAGCCACACUGGAACUGAGACACGGUCCAGACUCCUACGGGAGGCAGCAGUA